AUGCAAAGAGGUCGCUUUCAGAAUUGGAAACUCAUAAACCUUCAGUCACAAGGCAUCGAUCUUACCGUUGCGCCAAGACUUGCCCUCAACAAGAACAAGAAACGGAUCAAGAACCUUCUGUCACAAGGCACCAACCUCACCGUUGUGCCAAGACUUGCCCUCAACAAGAGCAAGAAACGGAUCAAGAACCUUCUGUCACAAGGCACCGACCUUACUGUUUGCCAAGACUCGCCUUCAAAGUUUCUUUCCUGCUAA